rnacentral:rRNA from 1 species
CACCAGACUCCUACGGGAGGCAGCAGUGGGGGACAUUGCACAAUGGGGGGAACCCUGAUGCAGCGACGCCGCGUGGGUGAAGGAGUAUUUCGGUAUGUAAAGCCCUAUCGGCAGGGAAGAAGCAAGGCGGUACCUGACUAAGAAGCCCCGGCUAACUCCGUGCCAGCAGCCGCGGUAAUACGGAGGAUGCGAGCGUUAUCCGGAUUUAUUGGGUUUAAAGGGUGCGCAGGCGGAUUUUUAAGUCAGCGGUCAAAUCGUGGGGCUCAACCCCAUCCAGCCGUUGAAACUGGGGAUCUAGAGUGUGCGAGAGGUAUGCGGAAUGCAUGGUGUAGCGGUGAAAUGCAUAGAUAUCACGCAGAACCCCGAUUGCGAAGGCAGCAUACCGGUGCACAACUGACGCUCAGGCACGAAAGCGUGGGUAUCGAACAGGAUUAGAUACCCGAGUAGA